rnacentral:rRNA from 1 species
UGGGGAAUUUUGGACAAUGGGGGCAACCCUGAUCCAGCAAUGCCGCGUGUGCGAAGAAGGCCUUCGGGUUGUAAAGCACUUUUGGCAGGAGCGAAACGGCUCGGGCUAAUACCUCGGGCUAAUGACGGUACCUGCAGAAUAAGCACCGGCUAACUACGUGCCAGCAGCCGCGGUAAUACGUAGGGUGCAAGCGUUAAUCGGAAUUACUGGGCGUAAAGCGAGCGCAGGCGGUUAUGUAAGACAGAUGUGAAAUCCCCGGGCUUAACCUGGGAACUGCAUUUGUGACUGCAUGGCUAGAGUGCGUCAGAGGGGGGUGGAAUUCCACGUGUAGCAGUGAAAUGCGUAGAGAUGUGGAGGAACACCGAUGGCGAAGGCAGCCCCCUGGGAUGACACUGACGCU